UCCAAUGAGAUGCAUCAUAACACAGACAAUUCACAUAAGGGUUGGGUGAACUUGUCACCAAUUAGUCCAAGCUAACUCUGUGCCAGGCCGUAGCAUGGGGUCCUGGUCUUCCUGUCAUAACAUACAUUACUUACCAUUGCCCCAGGGCCUCCUCUGGGCUCCUGGUCUUCGAGUCCCAUAACCGUGCCAGGCCGUAGAAUGGGGUCCUGGUCUUUCCUUACUCUGUGGCAGGCCGUAGAAUGGGGUCCUGGUCUUCCUGUCAUGGACUAAUUGGGUCAUCCAAUAUUCACCCACAUCAACAACAAUCGAUGCAAUGCGGCAUAUUCGUGAAAACUAAUGCAAUCACCCUAUUGCAUAAUCAUGAUGCAUGAAACAUGAUAAAACAUUUAAUUCCUCAAUUUAAGAGAUUAAGUUUAGUUCCACUCACCUCUGGCUGACUCUGACAACACCGAAGCAGCUGAACUCACUGCUGGGGUCCUCGGUUCCUCGGGUCCGAACCUACACAGGUGGACUCAAAUGAGGGACCAAACAUGCUAGAACAUAUCUCUAAACUACUCCC
rnacentral:lncRNA from 1 species